UGAGAAUGUGCCUUCGGGAACCGUGAGACAGGUGCUGCAUGGCUGUCGUCAGCUCGUGUUGUGAAAUGUUGGGUUAAGUCCCGCAACGAGCGCAACCCUUAUCCUUUGUUGCCAGCGGUCCGGCCGGGAACUCAAAGGAGACUGCCAGUGAUAAACUGGAGGAAGGUGGGGAUGACGUCAAGUCAUCAUGGCCCUUACGACCAGGGCUACACACGUGCUACAAUGGCGCAUACAAAGAGAAGCGACCUCGCGAGAGCAAGCGGACCUCAUAAAGUGCGUCGUAGUCCGGAUUGGAGUCUGCAACUCGACUCCAUGAAGUCGGAAUCGCUAGUAAUCGUGGAUCAGAAUGCCACGGUGAAUACGUUCCCGGGCCUUGUACACACCGCCCGUCACACCAUGGGAGUGGGUUGCAAAAGAAGUA
rnacentral:rRNA from 1 species